rnacentral:rRNA from 1 species
AGAGACGAGUCAGUAGUUGACUCGUGGCUCAGAGUAGAACGUUGGCGGUAGGCCUAACACAUGCAAGUCGAACGGCAGCACAGUAAGAGCUUGCUCUUAUGGGUGGCGAGUGGCGGACGGGUGAGGAAUACAUCGGAAUCUACCUUUUCGUGGGGGAUAACGUAGGGAAACUUACGCUAAUACCGCAUACGACCUUCGGGUGAGAGCAGGGGACCUUCGGGCCUUGCGCGGAUAGAUGAGCCGAUGUCGGAUUAGCUAGUUGGCGGGGUAAAGGCCCACCAAGGCGACGAUCCGUAGCUGGUCUGAGAGGAUGAUCAGCCACACUGGAACUGAGACACGGUCCAG